UGGGGAAUAUUGCACAAUGGGCGCAAGCCUGAUGCAGCCAUGCCGCGUGUAUGAAGAAGGCCUUCGGGUUGUAAAGUACUUUCAGCGAGGAGGAAGGCGGUAAGGUUAAUAACCUUAUCGAUUGACGUUACUCGCAGAAGAAGCACCGGCUAACUCCGUGCCAGCAGCCGCGGUAAUACGGAGGGGACAAGCGUUAAUCGGAAUUACUGGGCGUAAAGCGCACGCAGGCGGUCUGUCAAGUCGGAUGUGAAAUCCCCGGGCUCAACCUGGGAACUGCAUUCGAAACUGGCAGGCUAGAGUCUUGUAGAGGGGGGUAGAAUUCCAGGUGUAGCGGUGAAAUGCGUAGAGAUCUGGAGGAAUACCGGUGGCGAAGGCGGCCCCCUGGACAAAGACUGACGCUCAGGUGCGAAAGCGUGGGGAGCAAACA
rnacentral:rRNA from 1 species